rfam:Capsicum annuum cultivar Zunla-1 chromosome 7, whole genome shotgun sequence
AAGAGGAGAGCUUGUCAAGUUAGCUAAAGAUGACCUGCUUGAAACCAAGAAAGAAAGGACAUAUGAAAGACCUUUCCAAUUAGCGGUGCAGGCAAGUCAUCCUUGGCUACCAAAUAAGACUCUUCUCA